UCUCCGUAGGUGAACCUGCGGAGGGAUCAUUACAAGUGACCCCGGUCUAACCACCGGGAUGUUCAUAACCCUUUGUUGUCCGACUCUGUUGCCUCCGGGGCGACCCUGCCUUCGGGCGGGGGCUCCGGGUGGACACUUCAAACUCUUGCGUAACUUUGCAGUCUGAGUAAACUUAAUUAAUAAAUUAAAACUUUUAACAACGGAUCUCUUGGCUCCA
rnacentral:misc_RNA from 1 species